rnacentral:rRNA from 1 species
GACGAACGCUGGCGGCGUGCUUAACACACGCAAGUCGAACGGAAAGGCCUGCUUUCCCUUGUGGAUUGCGGGUACUCGAGUGGCGAACGGGUGAGUAACACGUGAGUGAUCUGCCCCCAACUUGGGUAUAAGCCUGGGAAACUGGGUCUAAUUCCCGAUAGGACUGCAGGGUGGUGCCUGUGGUGGAAAACGAUUUUCUAGUGGUUGGGGAUGAGCUCGCGGCCUAUCAGCUUGGUGGUGGGGUAAUGGCCUACCAAGGCGGCGACGGGUAGCCGGCCUGAGAGGGUGGACGGCCACAUUGGGACUGAGAUACGGCCCAGACUCCUACGGGAGGCAGCAGUGGGGAAUAUUGCACAAUGGGCGGAAGCCUGAUGCAGCGACGCCGCGUGGGGGAUGACGGCCUUCGGGUUGUAAACUCCUUUCGACCGCGAGGAAGCCACCUGGUUGGAAGGGUGGUGACGGUAGUGGUAGAAGAAGCACCGGCUAACUACGUG